UGAAUGCAGCAGUGUGACAGCUAGCAAUCAAAAGUAACAAGAUAUCGAGGAAAUGCAGAUGGCAAUAAACUGUGUAGGAGUUCAUGAUUGCAAUAGAAUAAAAUCGACCAAGCCUGAAGUCAGCAGCCCCCCUUCAAUGAAUGCAGCAGUGUGACAGCCAGCAAUCAAAAGUUACAAGAUAUCGAGGAAAUGCAGAUGGCAAUAAACUGUGUAGAAGUUCAUGAUUGCAAUAGAAUAAAAUCGACCAAGCCUGAAGUCAGCAGCCCCUUCAAUGAAUGCAGCAGUGUGACAGCCAACAAUCAAAAGUUACAAAAUAUCGAGGAAAUGCAGAAGGCAAAAAACUGCGUAGGAGAUCAUUAAUACAAAAGUAUUAUAUAAACCAAACCUGAUGUUGCCAGCUCCUUCAAUGAAUGCAGCAGUGUGACAGCCAACAAUCAAAAGUAACAAGAUAUCGAGGAAAUGCAGAAGGCAAAAAACUGCGUAGGAGAUCAUUAAACAAUAGUAUUAUAUAAACCAAACCUGAUGUUGGCCGCUCAUUCAAAGAAUGCAGCAGUGUGACAGCCAGCAAUCAAAAGUAACAAGAUGUCGAGGAAAUGCAGAGUAUAAUAAACUGUGUAGGAGAUUAUGAUUGCAAUAGAAUAAAAUCGACCAAGCCUGAAGUCCUUCAAUGCACGCAGCAGUGUGACAGCCAGCAAUCAAAAGUUACAAGAUAUCGAGGAAAUGCAGAUGGCAAUAAACUGUGUAGGAGUUCAUGAUUGCAAUAGAAUAAAAUCGACCAAGCCUGAAGUCAGCAGCCCCCCUUCAAUGAAUGCAGCAGUGUGACAGCCAGCAAUCAAAAGUUACAAGAUAUCGAGGAAAUGCAGAUGGCAAUAAACUGUGUAGAAGUUCAUGAUUGCAAUAGAAUAAAAUCGACCAAGCCUGAAGUCAGCAGCCCCUUCAAUGAAUGCAGCAGUGUGACAGCCAACAAUCAAAAGUUACAAAAUAUCGAGGAAAUGCAGAAGGCAAAAAACUGCGUAGGAGAUCAUUAAUACAAAAGUAUUAUAUAAACCAAACCUGAUGUUGCCAGCUCCUUCAAUGAAUGCAGCAGUGUGACAGCCAACAAUCAAAAGUAACAAGAUAUCGAGGAAAUGCAGAAGGCAAAAAACUGCGUAGGAGAUCAUUAAACAAUAGUAUUAUAUAAACCAAACCUGAUGUUGGCCGCUCAUUCAAAGAAUGCAGCAGUGUGACAGCCAGCAAUCAAAAGUAACAAGAUGUCGAGGAAAUGCAGAGUAUAAUAAACUGUGUAGGAGAUUAUGAUUGCAAUAGAAUAAAAUCGACCAAGCCUGAAGUCCUUCAAUGCACGCAGCAGUGUGACAGCCAGCAAUCAAAAGUUACAAGAUAUCGAGGAAAUACAGAAGGCAAAGAAGCAGAUGUCAUCAAAGAAGAUCUUUGUUCCUGCAAUGUUUCCGCAGACGAUACAACCAACAGAGCGAAGUGGAAGGAAAAGACUCGGAAUAAAGACCCCACCACCAUAUGGGAACAAUGCAAGGGAGAGAGAGAGAAUAUAAUGUUAUAUUUUUAUUUUUUGAUAACAUAAAAUAAACCA
rnacentral:lncRNA from 1 species